CCUACGGGUGGCAGCAGUGGGGAAUAUUGGACAAUGGGGGCAACCCUGAUCCAGCCAUGCCGCGUGUGUGAAGAAGGCCCUCGGGUUGUAAAGCACUUUCAGUGAGGAAGAACGCCUGGUGGUUAAUACCCAUCAGGAAAGACAUCACUCACAGAAGAAGCACCGGCUAACUCCGUGCCAGCAGCCGCGGUAAUCGGAGGGUGCGAGCGUUAAUCGGAAUUACUGGGCGUAAAGCGCGCGUAGGUGGCUUGAUAAGCCGGUUGUGAAAGCCCCGGGCUCAACCUGGGAACGGCAUCCGGAACUGUCAAGCUAGAGUGCAGGAGAGGAAGGUAGAAUUCCCGGUGUAGCGGUGAAAUGCGUAGAGAUCGGGAGGAAUACCAGUGGCGAAGGCGGCCUUCUGGACUGACACUGACACUGAGGUGCGAAAGCGUGGGUAGCAAACAGGAUUAGAUACCCUUGUAGUC
rnacentral:rRNA from 1 species